AGGUCCUGGUGUACUUUUAGCACACAUCAAUGAGCUUGCAACUCAACAUGAAUUUCACUACAGAAC
rnacentral:tRNA from 1 species